GGGGUUGUAGCUCAGUGGUAGAGUGCUUGCCUAGCACAUGUGAAGCACUGGGUUCGAUUCCCAGCACCA
rnacentral:tRNA from 1 species